AGANUUUGUUUCUGGCUCAGAGCGAACGCUGGCGGCGUGCUUAACACAUGCAAGUCGAGCGAGAAAAGGAACUUCGGUUCCUGAGUACAGCGGCGAACGGGUGAGUAAGACGUGGGUNAUCUACCCCUAGGGUGGGAAUAACCCGGGGAAACCCGGGCUAAUACCGAAUAAGACCACAGGAGGCAACUCCAGGGGUCAAAGGGAGCUUCGGCCCCCCCCAAGGGAUGAGCCCGCGGCCUAUCAGCUUGUUGGUGGGGUAAAAGCCCACCAAGGCGAAGACGGGUAGCUGGUCUGAGAGGAUGACCAGUCACACGGGGACUGAGACACGGCCCCGACUCCUACGGGAGNCAGCAGUGGGGAAUAUUGGACAAUGGGGGAAACCCUGAUCCAGCGACNCCGCGUGGGUGAUGAAGGCCUUCGGGUCGUAAANCCCUGUCAGGAGGAAAGAACGCUCCUAUAGUGAAUCC
rnacentral:rRNA from 1 species